UACAGAGGGGGCAAGCGUUGUUCGGAAUUACUGGGCGUAAAGGGCGCGUAGGCGGCCUGCUAAGUCGAACGUGAAAUCCCUGGGCUCAACCCAGGAACUGCGUCCGAUACUGGUUGGCUUGAAUCCGGGAGAGGGAUGUGGAAUUCCAGGUGUAGCGGUGAAAUGCGCAGAUAUCAGGAGGAACACCGAUUGCGAAGGCAGCUCGCUGGGACGUGACUGACGCUGAGACGCGAAAGCGUGGGGAGCAAACAGG
rnacentral:rRNA from 1 species